rnacentral:lncRNA from 10 species
CUCUGACUCUGAGAAGUGUGCACUGAUCCCUGUGACAGGCAGCUGCAAAGGAGAAAAACAGGCGAGGCUCCGUGAGUCGGCUGGGUGCCAGAACCCUUGGUAAAGAAAGUACACAGAGGGAUUCAUGAGUGCUUGGCCAACUCCAAGGUCCUGGGAGGACAUGAACCAGUGACUUUGAAUGUGAUGCUGAGCCCAGCAGGGAGCCAGUAUGACUCUCCCCAAAUCACAAGUGAGACUCAGAGGCCCCACUGGGCUCCCACAUGGACUCAGGCCACCGUCUUUGCUUAGAGGACGCAGCAGAAAGACUUGGCUCAUUUUCCAGGGGCAGACUUGGAGAGUUCUGGCAGGUCCAUACAUUUCAACUCCCUCCUCCCACCACAGCAGGCCUGCUCUUUUAUGUAUCCAAUGGGAAUAUUUUUCAUUAUCUUCCCUCUCAAUUUAAUUAAUCCACAUUCCGUAAUGAACCUUGAAAUUUCAUUAAACACAUCAUUACUAAUCAGCACAGAGCUGGUGGUAGUUGGCAUCUUCUUGCAGCCAUGCAGGAUGUUUGGCUGUGCCAGGUGCUGUCAUCUGACUCUGGGCCUGGGGACUCCCUCCUUCUCCUGCAGAGCUAGGGCUCAGGACCAUUCCUGAGUGGCCAGGGU